rnacentral:SRP_RNA from 1 species
UGGCAAGUCUAGGCGGGGGGGUAGGGCUCCCCUACAAUAGCAAAAGCUCUAUAUGGCUAGCUGAAUACCCUUGUGAGGUAUUGAAAGAUAGUUCAAACGCCCCUUGGGACCCGUCGAAGCGACGUCUUGAAUGGUGUCUAAUCGCCGAGGUCUUCACCGGAGGGUAAGACAAGAAAGCGUAAAGAUCAACCCGGUUAGGCGCGGAAGCGAGCGUCCGUCCGUCUUGUUAGACACGCCUUCAAGGUAGCGGCGUGGAGGUAACCUUUGGGUAUGUGGGAUUAUUUUUCGUAUCGAAUAAGGGGGCUUGCCA